rnacentral:rRNA from 1 species
UACAGAGGUCUCAAGCGUUGUCCGGAAUCACUGGGCGUAAAGGGCGCGUAGGCGGCUCGGUAAGUAGGGGGUGAAAUCCUGCGGCUUAACCGCAGGGCUGCCUUCUAAACUGUCGAGCUCGAGCACGGUAGAGGCAGAUGGAAUUCCCGGUGUAGCGGUGGAAUGCGUAGAGAUCGGGAAGAACAUCAGUGGCGAAGGCGGUCUGCUGGGCCGUUGCUGACGCUGAGGCGCGACAGCGUGGGGAGCAAACAGG